rnacentral:rRNA from 1 species
UGGCCGGGCGUACGCCUAACACAUGACAAGUCGAGCGGAGAUACAUGUACUAAGAGAGUUUCGGUACGAAUUAAUUGUAUCUUAGCGGCGGAUGGGUGAGGAACGCGGUGGAGAACCUGCCCUUCACGAGGGGGAUAACAGCUAGGAAACGGCUGUUUAAUACCGCAUAUGCUCACAGGAUCGCAUGAUCCGAGGGAGGAAAGCCGAGACGGUGAAGGAUGGCUCCGCGUCGGAUUAGCCAGUUGGCGGGGUAACGGCCCACCAAAGCGAUGAUCCGUAGCCGGCCUGAGAGGGCGACCGGCCACAUUGGGACUGAGACACGGCCCAAACUCCUACGGGAGGCAGCAGGUGGGGGAUAUUGCACAAUGGGGGAAACCCUGAUGCAGCCGACGCCGCGUGAAGGAGGAAGUGCUUCGGCAUGUAAACUUCUAUCAGCAGGGAAGAAGAUGACGGUACCUGACUAAGAAGCCCCGGCUAACUACGUGCCAGCAGCCGC